rnacentral:lncRNA from 1 species
CUGCUCUGCUCUGGAGUGGUGGUGCAGGUCAGGAUGGAGAUGGUGAGCGAGGAGGAGCGGCCAUUUUUAUAAGCGGCGGAUGCUGGAUGGAGGAGUGUGUGGCCACUCUUGCUUAGCUACGCCUACGCAGCAGGAUGUGGCAUUGUCGCUGUCCCCUGCCCUGACCACCUAUGCAAUUUUCCAUUAGGGGCCACACCAUAUAAAGACCCCGAAUGGAUCAAUGACGAAUCAUGUGGUUGCGAUUGCAAGCACCGACGAAAACAUUUGGCAUCACAAAUCCAAGGUCAGCAAAAUAAUAUAACACGGUACAAUCAAAGGCCUCGUAUACACUCACACCCACAUUUUAUUUCUAUGAGCACCUCCAUAUUAAAGAAGUCAUCUUUCACAUCUUGUAGUGGACGGAUAUACCUUCUUUCACCGAGCAAAUAUCGUCAAAAAGAUUGAAUGAAUGCAGAAGAAAAGUGCACCCGAUGUCAAAUCUAAUAGUUGAAUUCUGUUGGGCUAAGG